rnacentral:rRNA from 1 species
CAGCCGCCGCGGUAAUACGUAGGGUGCAAGCGUUGUCCGGAAUUAUUGGGCGUAAAGAGCUCGUAGGCGGUUUGUUGCGUCGGCUGUGAAAUCCCGAGGCUCAACCUCGGGUCUGCAGUCGAUACGAGCAAACUAGAGUGUUGCAGGGGAGACUGGAAUUCCUGGUGUAGCGGUGAAAUGCGCAGAUAUCAGGAGGAACACCGGUGGCGAAGGCGGGUCUCUGGGCAACAACUGACGCUGAGGAGCGAAAGCGUGGGGAGCGAACAGGAUUAGAUACCCUGGUAGUCCACGCCGUAAACGUUGGGCGCUAGGUGUGGGGCUCAUUCCACGAGUUCCGUGCCGCAGCUAACGCAUUAAGCGCCCCGCCUGGGGAGUACGGCCGCAAGGCUAAAACUCAAAUGAAUUGACGG